GGCACAGAAUAAGGCCUUCUUUUACUUCUCAAGGAUUACCAGCUUGGUAACAGCAAAAGCCAAGAGGGGGGAGAAAAAGUGUAUCCACGUUAAGCAAUUGGACUGACCCAGAUUUUCUAGAAGAGCAAUUUCCACUCAACCUAAGAUAAACCCCAGCCAAGCUUCCUCACGCCUUAGAUGAAAGAGGUUGUACUUUGUUUUGUCAACUGAUGCCAUUUCACACUGACCAACAGCAGAAGAAGUAGAUGCCAGGGAGAAUGAUCAGCAGGAGCAGACAGACUAGGGGAGAAGGAUAGACUGAAGAAUGUGGACUGAUUGAUGAAGCAGAGCAUCCAUUGUGCAUAUGUACUGACCCACUGGAUUAGAGAGGGGGCAGAGUGAUGAGGGCUGCAGUAACAGUAAUGCCCACCAACAGCUGGAUAUUGCUCUCGAGUAACACACAAACACCCAUUCACGCCUAGUCUUUGUUUUGAUCUUUAUGUCAAGACACCUUCAGUCCAAUAUCUCAACCUCUUACACAGCGUAAGACAUGACAUAAUGCAUUUCGUAUUCCAAAUCUACCACUAAUUAUUGCUGAGGCUUUAGGCAUGACACUGAAAGCAUCUUUGCCUGGUGCAAGUCUUUCUUCUAUGAUACAAAAUAUUCAUGUUCCUCUCAAACCAGAAAAAUGAUGCCCGUUCCCUUUGUAGAAUAAAUUAUGAAAUUCACUUUAUCAUUCAUUCUUUCCAGUGGAGCUCUUGUUAUCUGAUGCAACCAAGAAUCAAUAAUAAAGAAAUGGUGGGUAUUUGUUAUAAUGUCCU